CAACAUCCUACGAUGAAAAUGGACUAGACGAUACUGAUAAUAAUAAUGGUUUUAUGCAAAAUUGCAGUGCAACAGAUCACUCAACGGUUGCUGAGCAUGAAUUAACAUUUUUAGCGCUUGGAAUAGUUUCAACAUCCUAUGUUUAAUAUGGAUUAGAAGAUUGCAGUACAGCAGAUCUUUCAAGCCAUGAUGAAACAUGAAUUAUCGUUUUUAGCACUUGGGAAAAUUUGGACAUAACAUGUUGAAAUUUGACUAGACAAUACUGAUAAUAAUAAUAAUA